ACGGGUGAGUAAUACAUCGGAACAUGUCCUGUAGUGGGGGAUAGCCCGGCGAAAGCCGGAUUAAUACCGCAUACGAUCUACGGAUGAAAGCGGGGGACCUUCGGGCCUCGCGCUAUAGGGUUGGCCGAUGGCUGAUUAGCUAGUUGGUGGGGUAAAGGCCUACCAAGGCGACGAUCAGUAGCUGGUCUGAGAGGACGACCAGCCACACUGGGACUGAGACACGGCCCAGACUCCUACGGGAGGCAGCAGUGGGGAAUUUUGGACAAUGGGCGAAAGCCUGAUCCAGCAAUGCCGCGUGUGUGAAGAAGGCCUUCGGGUUGUAAAGCACUUUUGUCCGGAAAGAAAUCCUUGGUUCUAAUAUAGCCGGGGGAUGACGGUACCGGAAGAAUAAGCACCGGCUAACUACGUGCCAGCAGCCGCGGUAAUACGUAGGGUGCGAGCGUUAAUCGGAAUUACUGGGCGUAAAGCGUGCGCAGGCGGUUUGCUAAGACCGAUGUGAAAUCCCCGGGCUCAACCUGGGAACUGCAUUGGUGACUGGCAGGCUAGAGUAUGGCAGAGGGGGGUAGAAUUCCACGUGUA
rnacentral:rRNA from 1 species